rnacentral:lncRNA from 1 species
CUGAAUAAUUCUUUUUGAUCUUCUAAAUUUGGUGUUUUGUUUCUCGCUAAAUUUAUCCAAUAUCCUACACGUUUCAUAUCGGCAGUAACUGUCCCUUUUCUUACGUUAACUGAUGUAUUAUGUCAUGUUUCAACGCAACAUCUAUCUAGAUAUGCUAUUGAUUACAAAGGUGAAUUCCAGUAAGUUCAUUUGGACUUAUUUCCUAGAAUCAGUGACAAAUCUUCAUUGUGUGCAAUUACUU